rnacentral:tRNA from 1 species
GGCCCCAUGGUCAAGCGGUUAAGACACAGCCCUUUCACGGCUGUAACAGGGGUUCGAGUCCCCUUGGGGUCACCA